rnacentral:rRNA from 1 species
GCAGCCGCGGUAAUACGUAGGUGGCAAGCGUUAUCCGGAUUUACUGGGUGUAAAGGGUGUGUAGGCGGGACUGCAAGUCAGAUGUGAAAACUAUGGGCUCAACCCAUAGCCUGCAUUUGAAACUGUAGUUCUUGAGUGUCGGAGAGGUAAACGGAAUUCCCAGUGUAGCGGUGAAAUGCGUAGAUAUUGGGAGGAACACCAGUGGCGAAGGCGGUUUACUGGACGACAACUGACGCUGAGACACGAAAGCGUGGGGAGCAAACAGGAUUAGAUACCCC